rnacentral:rRNA from 1 species
AGCAUAUCAAUAAGCGGAGGAAAAGAAACCAACAGGGAUUGCCUUAGUAACUGCGAGUGAAGCGGCAAAAGCUCAAAUUUGAAAUCUGGGGCCUCACAGCCUCCGAAUUGUAAUUUCACGAUACGUUUUCGACUGAAGGCUCUGCUUUAAGUUCCUUGGAACAGGACGUCACAGAGGGUGAGAAUCCCGUGAUAGGUGGAGCCUGAUGCAUAUGAUACGUAUUCAACGAGUCGAGUUGUUUGGGAAUGCAGCUCAAAAUGGGAGGUAAAUUUCUUCUAAAGCUAAAUAUUGGCGAGAGACCGAUAGCGCACAAGUAGAGUGAUCGAAAGAUGAAAAGCACUUUGAAAAGAGAGUUAAAAAGUACGUGAAAUUGUUGAAAGGGAAGCGCUUGAGACCAGACUCAAUCUGUAGUGAUCAAUUUGGCUUCUGUCAGAUGCACUUGCUACUUAUUGGGACAGCAUCGGUUUUGGCGGUGGGAUAAAGUCUUGAGGAAUGUAGCUAUCUUCGGGUAGUGUUAUAGCCUCUUGAGUAAUGCCACCAGCUGGGACCGAGGACCGCGCCGCAAGGCUAGGAUGCUGUCAUAAUGGUCUUCANCGA